rnacentral:misc_RNA from 1 species
ACAAACUUGGUCAUUUAGAGGAAGUAAAAGUCGUAACAAGGUUUCCGUAGGUGAACCUGCGGAAGGAUCAUUAUCGAGUGUGAACCCCCCCGUAAAAAAGGGGGGUUACCUCCCGUCCUUUGCUUAGGCAUACCCUAUUCCAUUGGAAGGGGGUUUGCUUUUCAAACCUUUUUCUGCUUCGGCGGGGUUACCUGCCGAAACAACCUCAAAAUUCUAAGUCAAAAACGGUUCAGUCCGAGAAAACUUUGAAAAGAAGCGAAAACUUUCAACAACGGAUCUCUUGGUUCUGGCAUCGAUGAAGAACGCAGC